UCUCCGUAGGUGAACCUGCGGAGGGAUCAUUACUGAGUGAGGGCCCUCGUGGUCCGACCUCCAACCCAUUGUUGUCCGACUCUGUUGCCUCGGGGGCGACCCGGCGCUUCGGCGCCAGGGGGUCCCCGCUGGUCCACACAACUCUGCAUCUUUGCGUCUGAGUAAACAUUAAAUGAAACAAAACUUUCAACAACGGAUCUCUUGGUUCUG
rnacentral:misc_RNA from 2 species